UACGAAGGGGGCUAGCGUUGUUCGGAAUCACUGGGCGUAAAGCGCACGUAGGCGGAUUUUUAAGUCAGGGGUGAAAUCCCGAGGCUCAACCUCGGAACUGCCUUUGAUACUGGAGAUCUUGAGUUCGGGAGAGGUGAGUGGAACUGCGAGUGUAGAGGUGAAAUUCGUAGAUAUUCGCAAGAACACCAGUGGCGAAGGCGGCUCACUGGCCCGAUACUGACGCUGAGGUACGAAAGCGUGGGGAGCAAACAGG
rnacentral:rRNA from 1 species